UACAGAGGUCCCAAGCGUUGUUCGGAUUCACUGGGCGUAAAGGGUGCGUAGGUGGUGAGGUAAGUCGGAUGUGAAAGCUCGGAGCUCAACUCCGAAAUGGCAUUGGAAACUACCUUGCUCGAGGGUUGGAGGGGGGGACUGGAAUACUUGGUGUAGCAGUGAAAUGCGUAGAUAUCAAGUGGAACACCAGUGGCGAAGGCGAGUCCCUGGACAACUCCUGACACUGAGGCACGAAAGCUAGGGGAGCGAACAGG
rnacentral:rRNA from 1 species